rnacentral:lncRNA from 1 species
UGGUGAUGAGGAGCAUCAGCGGCGGGACAUCCCGACAGGAACAGAAUCACGGCAUCGACAUGAGCGAGUCAAAUCCAAGAUGAUGUCGCGGUCUUCAACCCAGUCCCCUGCCAGUGGGAGCCUGCAAUCAGGAAGAAGAGAGGGCGAACAGGAAGCCAAGAAUCAAAGAAGCAGAGUGUAGUAUGCAACAUAUCAAAGAUGGUAAAUUGAGCAACAGUUGAAUUAAAUUUCCUUUUGAUAUCUAAUUAGUAUAUAGUAGAACAUUAAUACCUUAUCUACCUUUUGUUGCAUCUUCUACUUCAUAUCAUCAGAUCUCUCCUAUAGAUACUGAUAAUUCUGUCUCCGGUAGAUGUCGUCCAGAUCAUUUAACAUGGUGCCAAUGGGAACUUUGUAUUCACACGCUUAUGCACUCAAACUCUGAUCAGCCAAGAAUCCAAUGAACAUGAUAGUGUGAUUAUAAUCUGACUUAUUUCAAACCUAUAUCUCUCCCCUUCUUUUUAUAUCAUUAUAAUGCUUUAAUUAAGGUGCCGUAUAACUCUCAAUAACCACUGGAUCAUCAAGCACAUUUCUGGCCCACAACCUUUUUAGUUCAUGGAUCACUGACCUGUAAACCUACUUCAAAGAAGCAACACAUUAGACUAAUUGUUACCUUAAGGCUAGAGAGAGAGAGAGAGAGAGAGAACAGAAAGCACAGAGACAUUCUUUUAAGAAUUUGGGAUGUUUUUAUUAUUACAUCAGGAGUGCUAUAUUCAGUAUAAUAUAUCAAUGUCAGUACUGCCUUCUGUGUAGCUCUGCCCUAAAGAUUCAAGCUACUGACAUGGGGGAUUACUACUACUAUAUGCCUAAGGUACACACACCAAAAUAAAGCUUAUUGAUAUAGCAAUUAUUUUAUGGGACAUAUUUGUUCAAAUCAAAUCCUAAUUUUAAAAAAAUCAUAUUAGGAUAAAUAUUGAAGAUACUUCUAUACUGGUAUUAUGAUAAUCUUUUUAUGUGUAUAUUAUUGAUUGUAAUCGAUCCAUUCAAUUUAAAAUCUGUACAACUAAGCAGUCAUGUAAUACAAAAUACAAAAUUGAAUUACCAAUUUUCAUAUUCUCCACAAGUUUCAUAUUCUUCAAAGUCUUUCUGGGUGCUUGACACUGUUCACCAAUAGAAAAUUUCAUGUUGUACUUGGAAAUAAACCAACAUGUGCAACACUCAUGUGCUUAACAAGAUAUAUGGUCCUAGAAGAAACAGAGUAAGCCCGAGUACGUUAAAGAAGAACAUAUUCGAGAGCAUAAUAAUACCAUUAAAAACAGAGCAUGAAAGAAGUAAAAGAAUACAACUAUCAAAGUAUACUAAUUUUUGUGAGCAAAUAACCAUAACAUACAAGGAAAAAUGUUUAUAUAACUCGUGCAGACUACCACACACACAGGUCAUGCAUGCGGUUUCUCACAUUUGUGCAUGGCUGAUUGGUGCUUACGUUAAUCCUUCCUAAUAUUAACGCACACAGAGAAGUAAAUUUGGCACAACAAUUCUCUUGUAUGCAGUGAAUAGCAAAACAGAAAGAAUCAAAUAUAUGGAAAGAGCACAUCUGACAGGUGACCAUAUGAGAUACAAGUCCUAGAAUAACACCUGAAGGAAAACAACCAUCACAAUAAGGAAUAAUGAAGGCAAGAAAAAGCUACAGAUGACUAGAUCUUAAGGGCUGCUAGAAGCUCAUAAAAAAUAGGUUAUAAUGUUAUAGAUAUACAUCCAGUGAGAAAAUGGAAACUAUAAUUAGGGUCCUAAAAACAUGUCACUGUGGAUAUCCAAGCAUGAAAGUUUACAGGACAAUUAAUCAUAUGGGCAUCGAAGGAAGCAAAAUAUCAAUGAAAUAUAACCACAAACUGUUCUCCAAACAAAGAUCUCACUGAAUUCAGACUUCCAAAUACUAGUAGUUGUACUUUUUGCUUUGGGUAGAAACUCCUACUUUUUGCUCUCUGGAGCACCGCUACUAGUAAAGUGUUUUCAUAUACCGUGGAUUUUUAUGCUGUGGAUGAAGUGGUUGUAAUAGUUUGUGGAGUUACGCCGCUUCUGAUUUCCCCUUCCUUUGCUGUGCAAUCAAGUACAUCAUACAUGUUCUUAUGAUUUCCUUGUCCUUGUGAAGAAUGAUGUGCUCCUAUAUAUUUUAUCUAUUAGCACUGAUUUGGUGUGUGUGUGUAUAUAUAUGAUACCUUCUCUUGCCAUGCUAUGUUCAAGUUCUUCCUCAUGCUUCUGCUUCAUCAUGUUUAGAGUAUACCAGCCACGAACAGAUCUUGCGAUUUAAAAUGUGAGAACAUGGAAACUAUAAUUAUGCAUGAAAGUUCACAGGGCUGUCAUUCGAUAUGAGCAUCAAAGAAAAUGUGAUGAGAUAUAACCACAAAUUGCUUCAAACACAGAUCUCACUGGAUUUAAACCACCAAAUUGUGAAGGCAGAAACGUUUAACAGAGGCUUGAUUGAAGCAGUAUCCUAAUCUAACCAUUAUUCCAGCAUUAAUGCAAUCAACAAAGCUUUGAUAAGUGAUUUGAUCCGACUAUCCCUAUAUCGCUAACAAUUUUGGUAUUAACACAAAAGGAACUGCUAUUCAUGGCAACGACCGACAUCAAACGAACAAAUUAACCCAAACCCUAGAUCCAAGGAGCAGCAUCGCACGAACAAUCCAUGGCAACGACCGAUACAUUGAAAGCAAUCAAGCAGAGAGAUCUGAGACGAUCAGAAAACAGGAUGCAGGAUUUACCAUCGGCAAGCUGGCAUAAAUCGCGAUCGCAAGAUCUCGAUGUACCGUGACCGGGAAUCCACGAGCGCGACGGGGAGAUCGGAAGACGAGGAUGGACGACCCGCUGCCUCCUUGUUUCCGAAGCGUCUUCUCUAUCCCCUAACCGAGCGUCG